CUUUGCUUUUAUGUCUCGUAGGUAACUCUUUAGGAAGAUCAAGAUUUCUAACUAUUCUUUUAAUAUCAUUUACCCUUUCUUUAACUUUAUCUUGAUGUGCGGUUAAAUGUGCAGUAACAAACAGAAAACUUGUGCCAAAUAACAUUAAAGCUAUAGCUACUGCUCCUUUUGUUCUAAAAGCAGUUCCUGUCCUAGUUGAAAAGCUAGCAUCUUCAUGGAUGGAACAGAACCAAAUUAGAUCUCUUCUUAAGAAAAGUGCAAGAUGUAGUGUUCCUAAACCAGUACUACAGAGUAAUACGUGAGAAGGACCAAGAGUUUCUUGCAAAGCUGCCUCCCAUUCACUCCGCUCAGAACAAGAUUCUUGUGUUCCAAUUGCUAACAGGUCUGGAACAGUUUCUAUAUCUGAAGUUCGCGAUUUGGUAGUACUUUUUCAAGUUCUACUGGUCC
rnacentral:misc_RNA from 1 species